rnacentral:lncRNA from 1 species
AAUAUUGUGGGACAAAUUAAAUGACAUAAAAAAUCACCUUUUUUCAUUUGAUAUAAUGUAAUGGUUAUAAAAUAUCUCCUCAGAGUUCUUCAACUGUCAUUUCAUCGAGAUGUGGGGACUGGGGUCUCUGACCUUGAAUCUGGGAGGACUUUUAACUUCUUUGACUAAGAGAAUACCAAAAAAAGCAAUGCUGUGUAACUUUUGAGACGUGGCCUAGAUUGACAAUCUGACUUCUGCUCACUGUUUUUCAGAAUCCUCCAUCUCAGGAAGGCCCCAGUAUUGCCAGGCUGGGAGAAACCCAAGCCAUGAGGAUAGACCAUGAAUAGGAGUUCUGGUUGACAAUCCCAGUUCACUCCCAGCUUCAAAUACACAAGGCCAAGUGCCAGAUACGGGCAUAAAAAGCAAUUUUGGAAGUGGACACUCCAGUCCCAGCUGUCCUAGCCCUCAGCUAUUUGAGUUGCAUCCAGACAUGUAAAUCUUCCCAGCUGAGGCCUCAUCAUUGAGGUGCAGAAAAGGGGCAUGCCCAUUGUGCCUGUUUCUAAAUUCCUGACCCACAGAACCUGUGAGCAUAAUACAAGUUUACUAUUUUAUACCACUAAUCAGCAAUACAACUGGGAUUUGAUAUCAGAUUCAUGCGAUUCCGAAGACCCUGACCACCAAAUGCAAAAGGUACAUGGCAAUAGCUGAUUGCAAUGAGAGAAAAACAACUAAUAAGGCAACAAGCAGGAUACCAAGAUAUUUUCCAAAGUGAAUAGCACUGAUUCUAUGAGGAAUGAACAUUGCCAAACAAGUGUUUUGUUUUGCUUUUCAACUCCUCUAAAAAAAUUCACAUAUAUGCAUGCCACUUUCCUGAAAAAUAUCUGCCUCAUAAUUGCCAUAAGAAACUGUAUGGACAACUCUUAAACAUUCUGAAAGUAGUCAGGGAUGGGGGAAAGCAUUUGCUAUUUUAGUCUGUUCCUGGUCUUAUAACAAAUACCACAGACUGGGUAAUUUAUGAUUACAGAGAUGCAUUUCUGAAAGUUCCAGGAGUUGGGAAGCUCAAGAUUAUGGCACCAACAUAUUCAUUGUCUGAUGAGGGCCUGUUUCAUAGAUGUCAUUUUGCAUGACUUAAUCACAGGGUAGGAAAAGCAAAGGGACAAAAUGGACAAAUGCCAUGUUGUCACAUGGCAGAAGAAAUGGAAGAGCCAGGAAGCUCUCAGAGAAGCUUCCUCUAUUAGGAUAUUAAUCUCAUUCAUGAGUGCACAGCCAUCAUAACUUAAUUGCCUCCAGAGGCCCCACUUCCUCAUCACUUAGAGGAUUAAACUUAAACAUGAAUUUGGAGGAAAUAUAUUCAAACUCUAGCACUAGUUUAAAUGUAGCUAAAAAGGUUUCUUCAUUCUGUAACUGUCAAUAUGCUAAUAUUUUUGUAAAUAUCCAAGAGGAAGCUAAAGCAUAUAAUAUUCCAAAAUUUAUUUCUGUUUGUGGAUAUUAUGUUUUCCUCUCAUUCUAUCUCAAGAAAUUAGUGUCCUCAAGAAACACUAUAUAGAAUAAUUGUCUUUCAAGUUCAUCAACUACUGGUUCUUGAUUCUUCAGUAGCUAAUCCUGGGUAGUAAUACUUAACAGAUUAUAAAAACUUGGGUGCUGCUAUAUAAAUGUGCUGAAACUCCCAGGGAAUCAAACAUAAGGACUUAAAGAGAGAUGUAACUAGGGAUCAUAAUCAUGAAUUUCAGCUGCUUCUCUAUCUUUGUCAGUGAGCAAAUGACCAUACAAAAUAAGGUAUUCAGUUAUUAAUUCUGUGCCCAUAUCCCGGAAUUUUGCCCAAUACAUUUGUAAGUUUAGAUAAAUAAGGCACUAAUGCCAGGGAUAUGUAGCAUUAGUUCUGGGUUUAUAAAGGGAUAUUCACAACCUCUUGCCAUCCACAGAAUUUAUCAGCCCAAAGUAAACUAUACUCGUUUGUUAAGGGCAACCUGAGACAUGUUUAAAACUGAGGUAGACUGAAGAGUCAACUAAUUGCAGGAAUCUUUUGUUAUUUGGUUGAAAUGUUCAAACAAGUCCCACUCUGAAUUCUAUUAGAAAUCCAUCAUUGGCUUAUCUCUGUUUCUCACUGUCUUAAAUCAUGUAUUUUAUAACACUAUGAAGAACGAUGUUCAAAAGAAUAAGCUAAAUUUAAUUAAUUAAAUUAUUUAUUUAUUUAUUUUGAGACAGAGUCUCACUCUGUCACCCAGGCCAGAGUUCAGUUGCACGAUCUUGGCUCACUGCAUCCUUCACCUCCUGGGCUCAAGAGAUCCUCCUGAAGCAGGGCAUUUCCCUGACCCCUUCAUGGGACUCGUGACAGGGGUGCCCCAUUUACUCAGCCCACUGCUCUCAACUCCUCGAGGGAGGGAAUGCACAACUGAACAAGGCAGGAACUGGAGUACAUGAGUGCUGGAACCAGUGGCCUCUUUGGUGCCAGAAGGAGUGAACUCACCCACUCUGACCUGCUGUGUUCCACACCUUGCAGGAGAGAGCAUGCAGAGUGGGGUGCUGGUGAAAACAUAUCCAAAAAUGUGGAAGCGACGUUGGAACUGGGUAACAGGCAGAGGUUGGAACAGUUUGGAGGACUCAGAAGAAGACAGGAAAAUGUGGCCAAGUUUGGAACUUCCUAGAGACUUGCUGAAUGGCUUUGAACAAAAUGCUGACAGUGAUAUGGACGAUGAAAUCCAGGCUAGGUGGUCUCAGCUGGUGAUAAGGAACUUGUUGGGAACCGGAGUAAAGGUGAGUCUUGCAAACACACUGGUGGCAUUUUGCCCGGCCCUAUAGAUUUGUAGAACUUUGAACUUGAGAGACAUGAUUUAGGGUAUCUGGCAGAAGAAAUUUCUAAGCAGGAAAGCACUUACGAUGUGACUUCGGUGCUGUUGAAAGCAUUCAGUUUUAUAAGGCAAGCAGAGCAUAAAAAUUUGGAAAAUUUGCAGCCUGACAAUGCAAUAGAAAAGAAAAUCCCAUUUUCUGAGGAGAAAUCCAAGCCAGCUACAGACAUUUGCAUAAGAUAAUGGGGAAAAUGUCUCCAGGACAUGUCAAAGGUCUUUACCUCAGCCUCUCCCAUCACAGGCACAGAGACCUAGGAGGAAGAAGCGGUUUUGUGGGCUGGGCCCAGGGUUCCUUUGCUGUGUGCAGCCUAGGGACUUCAUCCCCUGCAUCACAGCAACUCUAGCUAUGGCUGAAAGGGGACAACAUAGAGCUCAGGCUAUGGCUUCAGAGGGUGCAAGCCCCAAGCCUUGGCAUCUUCCAUGUGGUGUUGAGCCUAUGAGUGCACAGAAGUCAAGAAUUGAGGUUUGGGAACCUCUGCCUAGAUUUCAGAAGAUGUAUGGAAACGCCUGAAUGCCGAGGCAGGAGUUUGCCAUAUGGGUGGGGUCCUCAUAGAGAACCUCUGCUAGGGCAGUGCAGAAGGAUAAUGUGGGGAGGGAGCCCACACACAGAAUCCCUACUGGGGCACCACCUAGUGGGGCUGUGAGAAGAGGGCCACCGUCUUCCAGACCCCAGAAGUGUAGAUCCACUGACAGCUUGCACUGUGUGCAUGGAAAAGCUGCAGACACUUAACACCAGCCCGUGAAGGCAGCCAGGAGGGAGACUGUACCCUGCAGAGCCAGAGGGGUGGAACUGCCCAAGACCAUGGGUAUCCACCUCCUGCAUCAGCAUGACCUAGAUGUGAGACAUGGAGUCAAAGGAGCUUUAGAUUUGACUGCCCUUCUGGAUUUCAGACUUGCAUGGGGCUUGUAGCCUCUUUGUUUUGGCCAAUUUCUCCCAUUUGCAAUGGCUGUGUUUACCCAAUCCCUUUACCCCUGUAACCGCAUUGUAUCUAGGAAGUAACUAACUUGAUUUUGAUUUUACAGGCUCAUAGGUGGAAGGGACUUGCCUUGUCUCAGAUGAAACUUUGGACUGUGGACUUUUGAGUUAAUGCUAAAAAGAGUUGACACUUUGGGGGACUGUUGGGAAGGCAUGACUGGUUUUGAAACAUGAAGAUAUGAGAUUCGGGAGGGGCUGGAGUGAAAUGAUAUGGUUUGGCUCUGUGUCCCCAUCCAAAUCUCAUCUUGUAGCUCCCAUAAUUUCUAUAUGUAGUGGGAGGGACCUGAUUGGAGAAGACUGAAUCAUGGGGGCAGGUCUUUCCCAUGCUGUUCUCAUAAUAGUGAAUGGGUCUCACAAGAUCUAAUGGUGUUAAAAACAGGAUUGUCUCUGCACAAGCUCUUUUUUUGCCUGCUGCCACCCACAUAAGAUGUGUCUUGCUCCUUUUUGCCAUGAUUGUGAGUCCUCCCCAGCCAUGCGGAACUGUAUGUCCAAUAAACCUUUUUCUUUUGUAAGUUGUCUGGUCGUGGGUAUGUCUUUAUCAGCAGUGUUAAAAUGGACUAAUACAAUCACUCUAUCAAAUGAG